UACAGAGGGGGCAAGCGUUGUUCGGAAUUACUGGGCGUAAAGGGCGCGUAGGCGGCCUGCUAAGUCGAACCGUGAAAUCCCCGGGCUCAACCCGGGAACUGCGUCCGAUACUGGCAGGCUUGAAUCCGGGAGAGGGAUGCGGAAUUCCAGGUGUAGCGGUGAAAUGCGUAGAGAUGUGGAGGAACACCGAUGACGAAGGCAGCCCCCUGGGUCAAGAUUGACGCUCAUGCACGAAAGCGUGGGGAGCAAACAGG
rnacentral:rRNA from 1 species